rnacentral:rRNA from 1 species
GACGAACGCUGGCGGCGUGCCUAACACAUGCAAGUCGAACGGAGUUAAGUGCUUCGGUAUUUAACUUAGUGGCGAACGGGUGAGUAACGCGUGAGAAACCUGCCUUUCAGUGGGGGACAACAGUUGGAAACGACUGCUAAUACCGCAUGAUACUUUUUGGGGGCAUCCCUAAAAAGUCAAAGCUUUAUGUGCUGAAAGAUGGGCUCGCGUCUGAUUAGCUGGAUGGCGGGGUAACGGCCCACCAUGGCGACGAUCAGUAGCCGGACUGAGAGGUUGAGCGGCCACAUUGGGACUGAGAUACGGCCCAG